rnacentral:rRNA from 1 species
AUUGAACGCUGGCGGCAUGCCUUACACAUGCAAGUCGAACGGUAACAGGUCUUCGGAUGCUGACGAGUGGCGAACGGGUGAGUAAUACAUCGGAACGUGCCUAGUAGUGGGGGAUAACUACUCGAAAGAGUGGCUAAUACCGCAUGAGAUCUACGGAUGAAAGCAGGGGAUCGCAAGACCGUCUGCUACUAGAGCGGCCGAUGGAAGAUUAGGUAGUUGGUGGGAUAAAAGCUUACCAAGCCGACGAUCUGUAGCUGGUCUGAGAGGACGAUCAGCCACACUGGGACUGAGACACGGCCCAGACUCCUACGGGAGGCAGCAGUGGGGAAUUUUGGACAAUGGGCGCAAGCCUGAUCCAGCAAUGCCGCGUGCAGGAUGAAGGCCUUCGGGUUGUAAACUGCUUUUGUACGGAACGAAAAGCCCUGGGUUAAUACCCUGGGGUCAUGACGGUACCGUAAGAAUAAGCACCGGCUAACUACGUGCCAGCCGCCGCAGUAAUAC